rnacentral:rRNA from 1 species
UACAGAGGGUGCAAGCGUUAAUCGGAAUUACUGGGCGUAAAGGGUGCGUAGGUGGUUUUUUAAGUCAGAUGUGAAAUCCCUGGGCUCAACCUAGGAAUUGCAUUUGAUACUGAAUAACUUGAGUGUGGUAGAGGGAAGUGGAAUUUCCGGUGUAGCGGUGAAAUGCGUAGAUAUCGGAAGGAACAUCAGUGGCGAAGGCGACUUCCUGGACCACUACUGACACUGAGGCACGAAAGCGUGGGGAGCGAAC